GACAACAGAUGCCUACACAAAUGCCUACUCAGCAACAACUGCAGCAGCUGCAGCAGAUGAAAGGGUUUCAAGAUAUGAAGCUGCCCCCUCAGUUUAAGGACAUGAAGAUGCCUGCUUCUUUUGGGAAGGAUCCGAACCAGAAGGCGAUGAAGUUUAAUUUGCCGGAGGAUGAUGAUUUUAGUGAUGAUUACGACGAUGAGGAUGAUUAUGAUGAUGAGGAUGAUUAUGAUGAUGAUGAUCUAGAUGAUCUAGAUGAUGAUUUGGAUGAUGCUCCUCCACUUAAUAAGAUGAAACCUAUGAUGAAUCAAGGUGGGGGUGGGCAGAUGCCUCCGAAUAUGAUGAUGAGCGGGAUGAAGCCUGGCCAGCUUCCGCCACACCUCAUGAAAGGUCCUCCUCCUGGUGGUAAUAACGGUGGAAAUGGUGGCGGAAAUGGCAAGAAAGGUGGUGGGGGAAAUAUUCCUGUUCAGAUGAAUGCUAAUGGUGGAAAGAAAGGUGGUGCUGGGGGCGGAAAUAAUGGAGGCAAUCAGAACGGAGGGGGUGGGCCACCCAAGAAUGGCAGCGGCAAGCCUAAUGGUGGUGGUGGAGGUGGGGGAGCAGGUGGUGGUCAAUUCAAGAAUGGCGGAGGAGGUGGUGGACCUCCUGGUGGUAACAAUAUGAAUGGCAAUGGAGAAAAAAAGGUUAUGAUGAAUCAGGGUGGUCAUGUUAUGCCUAACAUGAUGGGCAUGAGUGGUAGUGGUGGUAGUAGUUUAGGCCACAUUGGUGGUAUGCCUAUGGGUCAGAUGGGUCAAAUGGGUAACAUGCCUAUGGGCCAGAUGAGUAAUAUGCAAGCAGCAGCUGUUCAAGGCCUUCCUGCUGCGGCGAUGAAUGGUGGUGCUCCUGGCGGAUACUUCCCAGGUGCUGGUGGCCCUCAAGCAAUGGGCGGAAACCCCUACUACCAGCCACAAAUGGCAGCAAUGAUGUAUGCAAGGCCACCUCCGGCCGUGAACUACAUGCCCCCCCAUCCUUACUAUCCAUACCAUCCUCCCCCUUCUGAUCCCUACACCAACUACUUCAAUGAUGAAAACACUUCGAGCUGCAAUGUUAUGUGAGUUCAUCGCGACAAGUUCAUCCCCUGGGCCUAAAGGUUUCUAAUUUUGG
rnacentral:lncRNA from 1 species